GCCUGGGUAGCUCAGUUGGUAGAGCAUCAGACUUCUUAUCUGAGGGUCCAGGGUUCAAAUCCCUGUCCAGACA
rfam:Ovis aries breed Texel chromosome 1, whole genome shotgun sequence.